CAGUAGCCGCGGUAAUACGUAGGGUGCGAGCGUUAAUCGGAAUUACUGGGCGUAAAGCGUGCGCAGGCGGUUGUGUAAGACAGGUGUGAAAUCCCCGGGCUUAACCUGGGAACUGCGCUUGUGACUGCACAGCUAGAGUAUGGCAGAGGGGGGUGGAAUUCCACGUGUAGCAGUGAAAUGCGUAGAGAUGUGGAGGAACACCGAUGGCGAAGGCAGCCCCCUGGGCCAAUACUGACGCUCAUGCACGAAAGCGUGGGAGCAAACAGGAUUAGAUACCCGCGUAGUCCCUGUCUCUUAUACA
rnacentral:rRNA from 1 species